rnacentral:rRNA from 1 species
AACGAACGCUGGCGGCAGGCUUAACACAUGCAAGUCGAGCGCCCCGCAAGGGGAGCGGCAGACGGGUGAGUAACGCGUGGGAACGUACCUUUUGGUUCGGAACAACUCCGGGAAACUGGAGCUAAUACCGGAUAAGCCCUAACGGGGAAAGAUUUAUCGCCGAAAGAUCGGCCCGCGUCUGAUUAGCUAGUUGGUGAGGUAACGGCUCACCAAGGCGACGAUCAGUAGCUGGUCUGAGAGGAUGGUCAGCCACACUGGGACUGAGACACGGCCCAGACUCCUACGGGAGGCAGCAGUGGGGAAUAUUGGACAAUGGGCGCAAGCCUGAUCCAGCCAUGCCGCGUGAGUGAUGAAGGCCUUAGGGUUGUAAAGCUCUUUUGUCCGGGAAGAUAAUGACUGUACCGGAAGAAUAAGCCCCGGCCAACUUCGUG